rnacentral:tRNA from 1 species
GAAGAUUUAGUUAAAGAAUAACGCUGGCUUGUCAAGCCAGAAUUAUCAUAAAAGAUAACCUUCU